CAGUCGCCGCGGGAAUACGAAGGGGGCUAGCGUUGUUCGGAAUUACUGGGCGUAAAGUGUGCGUAGGCGGUGAGUUAAGUCUGCUGUGAAAUCCCCGGGCUCAACCUGGGAACGGCAUCCGAUACUGCCGUGCUAGAGGAUUGGAGAGGUAGCUGGAAUUCUUGGUGUAGCAGUGAAAUGCGUGGAGAUCAAGAGGAACACUCGUGGCGAAAGCGAGCUACUGGACAAUAUCUGACGCUGAGGCUCGAAGGCCAGGGUAGCGAAAGGGAUUAGAUACCCCUGUAGUCCCUGUCUCUUAUAC
rnacentral:rRNA from 1 species